rnacentral:lncRNA from 1 species
CCUCCGCGCCCGCCCGCCCGCCACCGACCCGUGGUACGGCACCACCGCCCGACCCGCUCCACCCGACCCGACACUGGUGCUCCCUGCCGCAGCCAGGGUGAUGGGGACUUACCCCACAACACUGCAGGUGCAGGUGUUGAGCCUCACCACCCACUUAGGAUGUAUGGUAGUGAAGUGUGACGUGUCCAGUGCUCGCGUGAUUAUAGUGUGAAACAAGUGGUAGUGAUCGGCCAGCCGGAGGACUCAGCCACUAAAGGAUAUGUAUGUGGAGGAAGUGGAGUGUGUAAAAGACUCCACCCACACCUUCCACCCGUGUAGUGACCACCGUCCACGACCACCACCCACACCACCCACUCACCCACCCACCCCUACAACGCCCACUGCAAGACCACCCCAACAUUCAUCAUUCACUAAGGUUGGUGUGCUUGUUGGUCAGCCGGGCCAGGACGCCAGCUGGCUCUGUCAAGAUUCUCGUCUGAACUCCAGCACCUAACUAAAAAAAAUUUCAACACAAGAAAGAAAAUGGAAUACAAAGAAAACGCAAUGUUAGAAAAUUAUUAAAAAAAACGGGGGAAGGGCAGAAAUUGUAUUAUGUAUUAUAUAACAAAGGGCGGUGUUGUGCUUUGUGCUGUGUGGUGGUGAAAUGGUGCAUCAGGGAAUUAAAAGUUACCGCGUAAGGAUGGAAUCGUAACUGCUGCUGCUGCUGCCUGGCUUCGUCUACCUGUUGGGAACACUAAUGGUGACACGACACUACGGCACUACACGACACUACGGCACUACACGACACUACGGCACCACACGACGGAUGCCGUGACUCUGGGGGAAACAAGAGGAUAACAAAGGAGGAAACAAGCAGACUCAACUGUCCUGAACAAAGCGGCCGUCACAACAAAAGGGUGUGAGGGACCACUGGCCACCAAGUGCUGUCAACUACUAGUGCCUGGUGUGUGUGUGUGUGUGUGUGGAGGAGGUGCGUGAAGGAAGCAGCUGUAGGACGGACUAUAGGAGCCACGUUAAGGAAAGGACAGACAGCGAGAGGGGUCUUCACGCUGCCCUACACUGCUGAUUGUGGUUGUUGAUCACCAGAAGACGCAGAUGACACACCCCUGAAGAGGAAUACAGCAGUAAGGAGGAAGUGUUGUGCAAGUUUUAUAAGAUGGAUCUUUCACCAGUGAUCACAAUGAUAAGUGCUUUUUACUAUUCGUUCUGUUAGUGUUAAGGUAGUUAGUGUACUGUGACCGGUAUCAUUGUUAUGUUUAGGUCACAUUAUUUUUCUUUCAUUACACAAUUUAGCAACGGAGACUAGAAACCAAAUUAAAAGGGUACUAAAAUGACUUCUACCUUAGUGAGAACGGUAAUAUUGGCAUUUAUUCACCUGUAUAAGUGAACAGGUUUUCCAGACAUACAUAUAUAUACAUACCCACCCACAUCCCCACCCCUGUACAUAAUUUACAUUGGAAGGGGUAUGGCGAUUUAUUGUUGUGAGUUUCCAAGAUCUAUAUUUGUGUCAUAAUAGGGAAAUAAUUAAGGCCUGGCUAGUCAUGGCUAUUUUGGGACCACAGUACAGUAUUCUUCAUUCAGUAAUACAGUACAUGGUCAUGCUGUCUGCUGAAGGAAUUAAAAGGUUAUAAAAGAAGUUUAGUGUUUAUCUAAUAAGUGUUAAAUGGUUGUAUGCAUUGUGAUGAUGCAGUUUGUGCCUCUUUUAAUGUGAUCGCUGUUAGAAAUAAUGAUGGUCAAAACAAAGUAACAGACAGACCAACCACUCUAAAGGCUAUUUCAGCUGAUAAAUGGUGAAAGGGUAAAUAAAUAAAAUAAUUCGAUAAGGGUCAUAAUUCUUUUGAAAGUAGGUAUACAACAGCAAAUAUUAAACAGGUCAUGUUUUUACUUGGUAAUAUGAUCCAUGAAAAUUAAAGUUGCAGUGUGUGUAAAUAUUCUGUAAUUAAUGACAGGACAUCCUUAACGCCCCUGCACUGGGCUACGGUGGGCAUACCCCCCCCCCCCCUCACCUACACACACACACACAGGGAUACUGUAUUUGGAAAUUUUUGAAAAAAUUAAUCAUUCAAACUGGUCCUAUAUGAUAUAUAAACAUUAAAUAAAUGCAUGUAUUUACCACAGGUUGGCAUCAUAGGGGCUAGGAAGAGUUUUGUUGCCGAGUUGAGAAGCUGCAUGAAGUACAGUAUACUGUAUUGUGUGAGGCAGUGGGGUAAGGCGGGCAGUGAGAGGUGCACAACACCAAUAUGUAGGUAGUAUGAGGUACCUAGCAUUUGUUUUAUUAUGCUUUUAUUCUUUUCACUGUGUACAAUCAUUAUUACUGCCUCCAGUAUUGAUCACAAAUGUGAUGAAGCAUCCCGAUGGCACUGUGGAUAGCGGCUUAGGCUUAGAUAGAAACACUAUUUAUGUUCUUAAUCAUGCCAACGGGGUCAUUAGGCAAUGUGCUGUCAGUAUCAUGUCCAUAAUUCCCAGACAACUGUAUAGAAAGCAAACAUUCCUCUGGUUCCCUUCUGGGAGGAAGAGGAUACAGUUUAGAGGUAGUGUGGCUCUUGGAGGUAAACCUAAUUAUGCUGACAAAAAGUCAUAGUGAAUCGCAUCUACUGUAGAACUACAGCAUUACCACUAUGUAUUUCUGGGAAUUUGUGAUGCAUUGAUGUAGUGAGAAAUCUAUGUACUGUAGUAUCUAAACUUAAAAUGUUGAAAAGAUUCAAUAUAUUUUUCACAAGCUGUAUUGAAAUUCCAGGACACCAAAAUUUUUCAUGCUCAUUCAGUGUUGAUGAGAAGUAAUGUUUUCUAUGAAUUACCUUCCUGUUUCACUUUCUGUAAUGACUUUGGGUUACUUAUUCAAGACCAAACUAUGGUUUUUAAUACUCUGAAGGCAAUUUGUUUAAUGAAGUCAUGGUAGUGGUUUCCCCAUUAUUGACAUCUCUUUUCUUUGUUCCCACAGCUGAAGGAUGACAUUGCAUAAGACUGAAGUGACCAGGUGUAUGCCCACUCUACUAGAAAGCCUGUCCUCCAUUCCCUGAGACCCUUUCUUGUGAAGGAAGGAGUUCACAAGCAAGGUGCUCAGGCAUGGAUGGCAGUGCUACUUCACCAAUGGGCCCUCAUUACUAUGAAUAAUUGUGUCCUCAAGUUCCCUGCAAGAUGGAACGUCAUUUCAAGAGGACAAUACCACCACACAACACCCACCACAGUGCUUCAUCAUGGAAGAGGAUAUAAGAAGACUAGGAAAUAGGGGUAUCGGUAAUUAAGUCAUUUGCAGGAACAAUUUAAAGUACAGUACAGUACUGUAAUUCAAAGUGUGUUGAAUUUAUCAAUUUGGCCAGUAGUUACCGGUAGUCCAAAAUGAAAACCUUGACCACAAUUGAUUAUUUUCACUGCUGUACUACUAAAUUCGCUCAAGAGUGUUACAUAUAUUUAAUAUGUUCAGUAUAUCAUCUCGCUAUUCUAAUGGAAUGACAAAGUUUUGAUACUUUAGGUGUGUCAGACUUAUAGAAUAUGUACAAAAAUUCUCCAUGCUCUUUUGAUAUUGUAAACAGUCAUUCUGUUACAUAGUUACUCAUUAUAAAACUAUUGUAGCUAUUAUCAAGAGAGGUAAUUAUUGUUGUGGGUAUGGAAUGUUAAUUUAAUUUAAUCAUGGAUACACUUAUCUUAUAACCGAUGUUGCUACUUCAGUGAUUUAAGUUUUGCUCCUUUGGGAUAUAGGAUAUGAUUAAGCUAAUCCUAAUUUAGGUAGUUUAUUAAUAGGCCGAGCCAAUAGCCUACAUGCAGAAAGUUUUGUUGCUUAGGUGUUGAACAAUAAAACAGCAUUACUUCAUUUAUUGAGAUAGGAAACCUUGUACUCUCUCACCUCCAACAGACUAUGCACUGUGCAGGUGCUCACCGUUUGUAUCAUGUGUGACAUUUACCACAUUCAGAACCAGAAUUAUAUGGACAGUCAAGUAUUUAUCACCGUACAUACUAACUUGAGCAUUUCCACAUUGAUGUCUUAGUAGUAAAGGCCGGAGCAUUUGAGUUGAAUUUUGUAGUUUGUUGGUUUGGUUCUUUAGUAAGUAAAACUAUUGGAAGCUAUACCGUAUAUACUAUAGGAAAUGAUUGAUAAAGUAACAUAAUUAACCAGGGUUCUCAAACUGUACCUGUAAUAUUGUUGCCUAUUUUUUAAUGAGCGCUACUCACAUAAGUCCUAAGUCAUUAUAGUAAAUACAUAGAAUAUACAAAGGUAGAUUAAGUGUCUAAAACUGCUUAUCUGGCACCAGGUUUAGUGAUGGUGUAUUUCCUCUCUGUGGUGGUGCCUGUUACCUCUUAGUUUAUAAAGAGAGUAUAUUACUGUAUUCUACUUCGUAUUUCUCUGAGAACCUUGGUUGUUUAUGAUUCAGCUUCUGUCAACUGCAUAUACGUAGUACAUUUGUUAGUCUUUAAUGCACUACAGUAUAGUUAUUAGUAUUAGCCCCUUCACUAUGGGGACAUAUUUUUCAGUAUUUUAUGUGGCUAAUGCCAGAUAACUUUAUUUAGCUAAGAAAUGUCCCCAUACAUAAGGGGUUAAUGUUAACAAAAAUAGAAUUAAGAUAUACUGUACUGUGGUUGUGUAAGACAAGUUCAUAUGAUAAUAAUAAUAUUGUCUGAAUUUCA